rnacentral:ncRNA from 1 species
UAGCUUUUUUAUUAGUUGUUAGUAAAAUUAUACAUGCAAGAAUCAUCUUCCCAGUGAGAAUGCCCUCCAAGUCAUACUAGACCAAGAGGAGCAGGUAUCAAGCACACCAAUAAAGUAGCUCAUAACACCUUGCUUAGCCACACCCCCACGGGAUACAGCAGUAAUCAAAAUUAAGCAAUAAACGAAAGUUUGACUAAGUUAUACAACUUCUACAAAGGGUUGGUAAAUCUCGUGCCAGCCACCGCGGUCAUACGAUUAACCCUAAUUAAUAAACCCUCGGCGUAAAGAGUGUUAAAAACAACAUUACAAUAAGAUAAAAUUUUAUCUAAGUCGUAAAAAACAACAGAUAAAAACAAGACCAUUUACGAAAGUAAUCUUAAUAUACCUGAAAACACCAAAGCUAAGAUACAAACUGGGAUUAGAUACCCCACUAUGCUUAGCCGUAAACACAAACAUUUAAUAACAAAAAUCUUCGCCAGAGAACUACUAGCCACAGCUUAAAACUCAAAGGACUUGGCGGUGCUUUAAACCCACCUAGAGGAGCCUGUUCUAUAAUCGAUAAACCCCGAUAAACCUCACCACUUCUUGCCAAUCAGCCUAUAUACCGCCAUCUUCAGCAAACCCCUACAGGGAACAAAAGUAAGCACAACUAUACCCAUAAAAACGUUAGGUCAAGGUGUAGCCUAUGAAGUGGAAAGAAAUGGGCUACAUUUUCUUCUCAAAGAACACAUAAUCAACAGUAAUUUUUAUGAAACCUAAAAAUUUAAGGAGGAUUUAGUAGUAAAUUAAGAAUAGAGAGCUUAAUUGAAUUAGGCCAUAAAGCACGCACACACCGCCCGUCACCCUCCU